CUAAUUUGCCGUAAACCUGAAAGCAAAAAUCGACCAGCACCUGUCAGUCGAUCACAGCUCCAAUCAGCCAUGGCCUCUUUCCUCCACCGAAGUCGAACCACCUCUCACCUUCUCUUCCAAAGCCUAAGAAGCCUUAACCCCGUGGUUCCUCACCUCUAUUCCAAAACCCUCCAUAUACCUACACCGUUAAAACAAACAAGUCCCAUCUCUCCCGUUCCUUUCUUCUCCCCGAGCAUCCCCAAAAACUUGAACCAACGCUUCCUCCAAAAUUAUUCCAUCUCGACCUCCAUCAUUAGAUCUCAAUUACUUCUCCCAAAGCCCCUGAACAUCCCCAAUCUCCAGCAGUUCUCCUCCAACUCUCCGGAAAAACCGCAUCCCGAAGUGCGGCACCAGGAGAUCACCGGCCCGACGGUCGAGCCCGACACUUCCCCACUAGCCAAUGAGACCCGCGAGGUCCUUGAAUCCCUUCGGAGGUCAUUAUACGACCUGAGUUCCGCUCUCGCGGUGCUCGGCGUUGCCCACCUCGGCCUCGGCGCAUGGGUGGCGUACGCCGUGCACCCACCGAACGAGGUCUCUAUCCAGGGCUUUGCUGCCUUUGCCUUCCCCUUCUCACUGGCGUUCCUCUUACGGAGGACUGUUAAGCCUAUUACGUUUUUUCAGAAGAUGGAGCAGCAGGGCCGGCUGCAGAUUCUUACGCUUGCUUUACAGAUUUCGAAGAAUUUACGAGUUCUGUUUGUAAGGAUGCGAGUAAUGUGUUUUUGCUGUGUCAUUGGAGUUUCUGCUGGAUCGGCCGUGACUAUGUUGAUGCGUUGAGGUGGUAAGUGACAGUUCUUCAUUUCUGUUCUUUUCUUACUCUGGAUUUGUUAUUGGCCGGUUAAGAAUCAAUCCUUGAUUGACGAGUUCAUAUCUAUGAUUAAAUAUGUUUAUCCAGGUGAUAAUUUUGAUAAUCUGCACUGUUUAUUUAGUUCCCAUUUAUGAAUUCCAAUCGA